UACAGAGGGUGCAAGCGUUAAUCGGAAUUACUGGGCGUAAAGCGUGCGUAGACGGUUAUGUAAGUCGGGUGUGAAAGCCCCGGGCUCAACCUGGGAAUGCCAUUCGAGACUGCAUAGCUAGGGUGCGGAAGAGGGAAGCGGAAUUUCCGGUGUAGCGGUGAAAUGCGUAGAUAUCUGGAGGAACACCGGUGGCGAAGGCGGCAUCCUGGACCAACACUGACGCUGAGGAGCGAAAGCCAGGGGAGCAAACGGG
rnacentral:rRNA from 1 species